rnacentral:rRNA from 1 species
CAGUAGCCGCGGGAAUACGGAGGGAGCUAGCGUUGUUCGGAAUUACUGGGCGUAAAGCGCGCGUAGGUGGUUCGCCAAGUUGGAUGUGAAAUCCCCGGGCUCAACCUGGGAACUGCAUCCAAAACUGGCGAGCUAGAGUAUGGUAGAGGGUGGUGGAAUUUCCUGUGUAGCGGUGAAAUGCGUAGAUAUAGGAAGGAACAUCAGUGGCGAAGGCGACCACCUGGACUGAUACUGACACUGAGGUGCGAGAGCGUGGGGAGCAAACAGGAUUAGAUACCCCCGUAGUCCCUGUCUCUUAUAC